UGGGGAAUAUUGGGCAAUGGAGGGAACUCUGACCCAGCAAUGCCGCGUGAGUGAAGAAGGUUUUCGGAUUGUAAAACUCUUUAAUCGGGGACGAAGAAAGUGACUGUACCCGAGGAAUAAGCAUCGGCUAACUACGUGCCAGCAGCCGCGGUAAUACGUAGGAUGCAAGCGUUAUCCGGAAUGACUGGGCGUAAAGGGUGCGUAGGCGGCAUGUCAAGUUGGCAGCGUAAUUCCGGGGCUUAACUCCGGAACUACUGCCAAAACUGGCGAGCUGGAGUGCGGCAGGGGUAUGUGGAAUUCCUAGUGUAGCGGUGGAAUGCGUAGAUAUUAGGAGGAACACCGGUGGCGAAAGCGACAUACUGGGCCGUAACUGACGCUGAGGCACGAAAGCGUGGGGAGCAAACA
rnacentral:rRNA from 1 species